GGACUACCGGGGUUUCUAAUCCUGUUUGCUCCCCACGCUUUCGUGCCUCAGUGUCAGUUGUUGUCCAGAUAGCCGCCUUCGCCACUGAUGUUCCUUCCGAUAUCUACGCAUUUCACCGCUACACCGGAAAUUCCGCUAUCCUCUACAACACUCUAGCUACACAGUCUAACAUGCAAUCCCCAAGUUAAGCUCAGGACUUUCACAUGUUACUUACGUAACCACCUACGCACCCUUUACGCCCAGUAAUUCCGAUUAACGCUCGCACCCUCUGUAUUACCGCGGCGGCUGGCAC
rnacentral:rRNA from 2 species